UACGUAGGGGGCUAGCGUUGUCCGGAAUCAUUGGGCGUAAAGCGCGUGUAGGCGGUCCGGUAAGUCCGCUGUGAAAGUCGAGGGCUCAACCCUCGAAUGCCGGUGGAUACUGUCGGGCUUGAGUACGGGAGAGGCGAGUGGAAUUCCUGGUGUAGCGGUGAAAUGCGCAGAUAUCAGGAGGAACACCAAUUGCGAAGGCAGCUCGCUGGGACGUUACUGAGCUGAGACGCGAAAGCGUGGGGAGCAAACGGGG
rnacentral:rRNA from 1 species